rnacentral:rRNA from 1 species
CAAUAGCGUAUAUUAAAGUUGUUGCGGUUAAAAAGCUCGUAGUUGGAUUUCUGCUGAGGACGAUCGGUCCGCCCUCUGGGUGAGCAUCUGGCUCGGCCUUGGCAUCUUCUUGGAGAACGUUACUGCACUUGACUGUGUGGUGCGGUAUCCAGGACUUUUACUUUGAGGAAAUUAGAGUGUUUCAAGCAGGCGCACGCCUUGAAUACAUUAGCAUGGAAUAAUAAGAUAGGACCUUGGUUCUAUUUUGUUGGUUUCUAGAGCUGAGGUAAUGAUUAAUAGGGAUAGUUGGGGGCAUUCGUAUUUAACUGUCAGAGGUGAAAUUCUUGGAUUUGUCAAAGACGGACUACUGCGAAAGCAUUUGCCAAGGAUGUUUUCAUUGA